rnacentral:rRNA from 1 species
CCUACGGGUGGCAGCAGUGGGGAAUAUUGGGCAAUGGGCGCAAGCCUGACCCAGCAACGCCGCGUGAAGGAAGAAGGCUUUCGGGUUGUAAACUUCUUUUCUCAGGGACGAAGAAAGUGACGGUACCUGAGGAAUAAGCCACGGCUAACUACGUGCCAGCAGCCGCGGUCAUACGGAGGUGGCAAGCGUUAUCCGGAUUUACUGGGUGUAAAGGGCGUGUAGGCGGGAAAGCAAGUCAGAUGGGAAAACCGUGGGCUGAACCUGUGGCCUGCAUUUGGAACUGUUUUGCUGGAGGACUGGGGAGGCAGGCGGAAGUGCGGGGGUAGGGGUGAAAGGCGUAGAUAUGAGGAGGAAGACCAGUGGCGAAGGCGGUGUGCUGGACAGCAACGGACGCUGAGGCGCGAAAGCGUGGGGAGCAAACAGGAUUAGAUACCCGAGUAGUC